rfam:Triticum aestivum genome assembly, contig: Triticum_aestivum_CS42_TGACv1_scaffold_562155_7AL
CAAGUACUCCCUCCGUCCGGAAUUACUUGUCAUCAAAAUGGAUGUGUCUAGAACUAAAAUACAUCUAUAUACAUCCAUUUCAAUGACAAGUAUUUUCGGACGGAGGGAGUACAAG